rnacentral:rRNA from 1 species
UACAGAGGUCUCAAGCGUUGUUCGGAUUCAUUGGGCGUAAAGGGUGCGUAGGUGGCGCUGUAAGUCGGGUGUGAAAUUUCGGAGCUUAACUCCGAAACUGCAUUCGAUACUGCGGUGCUUGAGGACUGGAGAGGAGACUGGAAUUCAUGGUGUAGCAGUGAAAUGCGUAGAUAUCGGGAGGAACACCAGAGGCGAAGGCGGCGAACUGGAUAGCAACUGACACUCAACUGACGAAAGCGUGGGGAGCAAACAGG